rnacentral:rRNA from 1 species
UACAGGGGGUGCAAACGUUGCUCGGAAUCAUUGGGCGUAAAGCGCACGUAGGCGGCUUGGCAAGUCGGAUGUGAAAUCCCUCGGCUCAACCAAGGAAGUGCAUCCGAAACUGCUGAGCUUGAGUACUUAAGAGGAUCGCGGAAUUCCCGGUGUAGAGGUGAAAUUCGUAGAUAUCGGGAGGAACACCAGUGGCGAAGGCGGCGAUCUGGGAAGAUACUGACGCUGAGGUGCGAAAGCGUGGGGAGCAAACAGG